rnacentral:rRNA from 1 species
CCUACGGGUGGCAGCAGUGGGGAAUAUUGGGCAAUGGAGGCAACUCUUACCCAGCAAUGCCGCGUGAAUGAAGAAGGUCUUCGGAUUGUAAAGUUCUUUAAUUGGGGACGAAAAAAAUGACGGUACCCAAGGAAUAAGCCCCGGCUAACUACGUGCCAGCAGCCGCGGUAAUACGUAGGGGGCAAGCGUUGUUCGGCAUGACUGGGCGUAAAGGGUGUGUAGGCGGUGUAGCAAGUUAGAAGUGAAAUACCUAGAGCUUAACUCAGGUGCUGCUUCUAAAACUGCUAUACUUGAGUGCAGUAGAGGAAAGUGGAAUUCGUGGUGUAGCGGUGAAAUGCUUAGAUAUCACGAAGAACUCCGAUUGCGAAGGCAGUUCACUGGACUGCAACUGACACUGAGGCUCGAAAGUGUGGGUAUCAAACAGGAUUAGAUACCCUUGUAGUC